rnacentral:lncRNA from 1 species
UGUUUUGAACUGAAGCUCGUUCCUGCCUCCCUUCCAGAACUCGUAGCCAGGGUCUCCAGCCAUCUGCUGGACUCUGCUCAGAACCUCCCUCACGCCCCUCAAAUCCAGCACAUCCCAAACCAGAGCCUUCUCUACACCCACCUUAAGGCAAUUUCUCAUCCUCCCUUAUCUCGGCCAGGGGUGCAGCAGUCACUGGGCCCACACAGCUGUGGACAACCGCCCUCCAAGGACAGAACCUGCCCACCUGAAGCUGGGGCCAGCGAGAACUUGCCCAAGUGGCUGGAGGAAGCUGCUGGGUGGUGGUGGCUGGAGUUCCCUGGGGUGAGCGCGUUUGGCAGAUGUCACUGCGGCAGGGUAAUAUCACCAACUCGGUUCCCUCAGGAGAUUCAGUGGGGACCAGCAAGGAGAACAGGGCUGAGAACAGACUGAGCGAAAGGACUUUCAGCGAACACAGGAGAGGCCUGGGGAGAAGGUGUCUAAAGUUGGAGGCCAGCCAGAUGAAGGCAUGAGAAGAGGUGGUUAGUGACCUGCGGGGUCUCUGGUGUGAGUGUCCCCAGAUUAAAACACUGAAGAACCAUGGUGACGGUAGACUAGCAUGACUUUCCAGUCAUUGAGCAAAUAGUGAUUAAGCAGCAGUAUGAAUUGAUACUGCCCUGGAAAGGUGUCGUAUGGCAGAGAGGAGCAUCCUCUUUGUCCUUGCCCCAAACCGCCAUCCCAGCACCGAGCAUUCUCCUCGGUAUGGAUUAAGCCUCCCACACAAUUUUGUCAAAUGAAUGAGGAUCUUCAAUUCUAGCGAGAGGGCAAAUCCAACAUCAAGAAAUAGCAGAAAUGACCAUGGGACGACAUCAAAUUGAGUGUUAACACACGCUAUAGCAGGGAUGGACCUCGGGGACACUGUGCUAAGUGAAACAAGCCAGUCACAAAGACAAAGACCGUAUGAUCCUAUGAUUCCACUCUCACAAGGGACUUAGAGUCAAAUUCACAGACAGAAAGUAGAACGGCGGUGGCCGGGGACUGGGGGGUGGACGAGGACUUGUCUAAUGAGUACAGCGUUCCAGUUCGGAAGAUGGAAGGAGUCCUGGAGAUUGGUUGCACAACAUUGUGAGUGUGCUGAACACUACUGAACUGGACACUUAAAAAUGGUUAAGAUGGUAACUUUCGUGUCAUGUGUAUUUUACCACAAUU